rnacentral:rRNA from 1 species
UACGUAGGGUACGAGCGUUGUCCGGAUUAUUGGGCGUAAAGGGCUCGAGUAGGCGGUUCGUCGCGUCGGGAGUGAAAACUCGGAGCUCAACUCCGAGCCUGCUUCCGAUACGGGCAGACUAGAGGUAGGCAGGGGAGACUGGAAUUCCUGGUGUAGCGGUGAAAUGCGCAGAUAUCAGGAGGAACACCGGUGGCGAAGGCGGGUCUCUGGGCCAUAACUGACGCUGAGGAGCGAAAGCGUGGGGAGCGAACAGG